rnacentral:lncRNA from 1 species
UGACGCCGUCCGCCCCAGCUCAGCUCUGUUUCGGGUAUGAGGCCUUCCCCCCACACAGUCUUGACUCUUUAGUACUCCAGUCUCGAGCGAGGACGAAUCUGCUUUUAAAAGCAUCCGGCCUCGUGUACAGGUCAAGAAGCUCAGUAACCAAUCGUCUGUUUGUGAAUGCUUCGUGGGAUGGCUUUGAUUGCAACUCCCAACUUCCGCAAUCCUUGCGUAGCUGUAAUUUGCCUGGACCUUCCAGCAAUGCGGGCCACGGAGUUAUAACUUUCCGUCGUACAAUUGAAUCUCGAAGUGACGGGCCGGUGCCCUCUUAAUGACCAACAUCUGCCUUCCCUUCUCAGCCUUGUGAGGCUCUCGGCCUCCCUGUGAAACAUAGUUGAGUUGCUAGCAGAGAAGAGGGUCACAUACUGAGGGAUGUGUGAGGUCUACAGCCUUAAAAGACUGCGAGCUAUCACACGAGCAAGGGGCUUGAAAAUCCACACGAAGCUCUCACCGUGCAUUAGGUGUGCUCGGGCCAAUUUCAUGCAGUUUAUGAAGCG